UACUGUAUGGUGCUAAAUUUCAAAGAGAAGAGGUUUUCUAAUUCUUCUGUACAGUCUGUUGCUGCAAAUCCUACGGGUCGACAUUACAUCGUUGCUUGGACAUUAUCCAUCAUCGUACAAAACCCUGUCAAGAACGAUUGAGAUAUUAUACGACGUCGUUUGAAUCUCCCCCCACGCCGCACGGAGCCAUAGCACCACCAAAAAGCACCGGCUGCGACCUGCCUCAGCUCCCCAACCCAACUACUCUCAGCCGCCACCGCACCCAUUCUCUCUCUCUCUCAAGUGGAAGCUAUACCCAUAAUGGAAGAAGAACGAGCAAUGAGACGCACUGCCAAUGGCGGCACUCUCAAUGAUUCUGUUCUUCGCUAUCCCACUGUCAGUACCACUUUUACAAUCCCUUUAACUCGCUACACUACCCGUUUGAUUACCUCCGGCCGCCACCGCCCCCUAUUGGCCGAUUGCGCCGACUCCCGAUCCGACACGGAAGACCACGACGACGCUAACGAUUUCAAUCGCCGCUCCAUUGUUAGGGAAAAUUGCUUCUACUCUAUGCCCAUUUUAGUUCUCGACGUCGUUUGGAAUUUGGCCUUUGUUCUUGUCUCCAUUGUUGUCCUCUUGUCCACGUUUCGAGAACGCCCUUCCACGCCUUUGCGCCUUUGGAUUUCUGGAUAUGGCUUGCAAUGUCUCCUGCAUGUUGGGUUUGUCUUCUUUGAGUAUCAGCGGAGUAUGGCGCUCCACGGCUUUGAGGACCGUGCGUAUCAUCGCAGCAUAAUGAAAAGGUUGGAGUCAAUGAAUACAAUGACCUCGUCGGUUUGGUGGGUCUUUGGAUUCUAUUGGAUUGUCAUGGGUGGCCAUACACUUUUACAGGAUUCUCCCCGGCUUUACUGGUUAACCGUCGUGUUUCUAGCGUUUGACUUGUUCUUUAUUCUCUUUUGUAUUGGGAUGGCAUGUGUUGUUUUCUUCUCCCUUUGUUGCUGCAUUCCUAUUAUAGCAUUUGCAUAUGCCAUGACUGCCAGAGAAGGUGCCUCAGAAGAGGUUAUCAGGGCUCUUCCCAAGUACACAUUUCGUCAGGCUGCGCUCGGGGCGUUUAUCCAUGGAAAAGAACGGGAACCAAUUGGAGCAACAACGGAGUUGGAUAACGAUCACCUUAUCAAAGAACUUGCUCUUCAUCCAGAGGAUUCGGAAUGUUGCAUUUGCCUUUCGCAAUAUGAAGACGGGACGGAGCUCUAUACUCUUCCCUGUAACCACCAUUUUCAUUGUGGGUGCAUCGGCAAAUGGCUUCGGAUAAAUGCAACAUGUCCACUCUGCAAAUCUAGUAUCUGUCGGGGCGAUACACUGGUUUGACCAUCGAGAGGAGCAGACGAAUCCCAGCUGAGAAUAUGUAAGUUCGGCAUUUUCGAUUUCAGAUAGCAGAUGUUGAUGAUUGAUAGCUUCCAGGCAUCCUUAUACUGCUAGAUUCCAUGAACAAGUCAAGUGAAGUUAGAGAAUGAGAGGGAAGUACAACGUCCAUGUUUUCUCCAGCGGUAUUGAGCGGAACUUUGAUCGGAAUCACCUGCCAUCGUGAAACGUCAGAGGUUAAAACCCAAGGUGAAAAGAGUAUCACCUAAGAAUAUAGUUAGCUACCAAUCAGAUUUGUAACUUCGGAGUGUAAGUCAGUUUCUUAUCAUGGAGUCGAAGGUCUCUUGCACGUUGCAACUCUCAUGUAUCGAAGUGUUUUUUGACAAUUUAGUACCAUUUCUUCUUUACAUUUCUAGAAAUAAAUUUCAAGAUCAAGAGGGUGCUUGGAUUA